rnacentral:misc_RNA from 1 species
UUUAAAAAAAAAAUAAUAAUAAUUUGCCAUCAUAAUCACAUCAUCCCUUAUGCAGAUGCUAGCACACUUUACAAGGAUAAAACAAAGCGCAUGCAAUUAAUCAACAAUGCAAUUCAUUACACCAUACAUUAUCCACCUGUAGAAGCAUUAUAUCUAAGAUUUGCCUCUUCUCUUCCCUCAUAUCCCCGCCACCACAAACUCCCUAACCUCUUCGGACCAAAGGGAGAGCGCAUAUGAUGGUAAGAAUUCAACUCCAGACAAAAUGAAGAGAGCAUAUGAUAAUUCAGCAAUUGGUAUAUAAGCCUAACAAGAAUAGGGACUAUCUGCAGAAGUACAAAUUUCCAGCAUUUGCAGAACCAGUGCUUCAUCAUAAUUUAAGGGAUAGUAAUUCGUUAUGAAUCGGAUGCAGCAGUUUCAAUGAGGCUUCUUCUGACCUUCUUUGUGUUCUUUUACACCUGAAGUAAAUACAUCCAAUUCCCUUUAACGUUUAUUUUAUUCAGUAUGUUUGUCUUCGACAAUGCCAGUAGAAAUAAUAUCCAGGGCCACCAUUAGUCAAAUAAAACUACUAGAGGAAAUGAUGCUCACGUCCUGAUUUUACCCUACAAAUUCUGAAGGGAAUACAAUACUGGAUUAAAGUUCAGGUUUGAUGUCCCAUAAAAAGGACCCGGAGUGCUCAAAAUUGGAACCAUAUCAGCAGCAAAUGAAUGCCCCCGCUUGUGAGCUCAAUAGAUCUCCCAUAUUGCUGCCUACACAAUUGUAGCCAGUAACACAUAGCCAUCAUAUGACUGGAACAGUGAUAACUAAGAAAACUCACCUUGGCAGGCAAGGUGUUACUGGAGGACCAAACACCCUAAACCUUGAGAGUUUCACCUACAUAAACCGAUUGCUAUUCUCUCUCCUUGUAAGAAAUAGAAAAAUUCUACUAAAAUCACCAUCCAAUCCCAACUUUAACUUGAUAGUCAGAGUGUGGUCACCAGAGCCAAGGUCUAGCUCCCGAUUAACUGUCCUUCUGUGCAGGAAACCGAGAACAAAUUGAAGCAGUAGCUACCAUGGAAAUCUCCUCAGCAAUAAUACCCAGAGAGAAUAAGUUGAAUAUUCAAGCACAAACAUUUUUGUUAGUAUAAAUAUAAUUAAAAACAGCAAUUGUGCAAGAGUUAUCUUUCAAGAAUCAAUACAAUUUAGACACUAAUAAUACAAAAAUUAGGAAAAAGCAAAAAAGAGAAUAAAAUAUCCACUGCUACCACAAGCAAUAAAUAGCAUUUACGUGCAAUUUGACAUGUACUGUAACUUUAAACAACAACAGCCAGUAGCUCAUUACAGUUUUGAAGCUCUCAUGAUGAUGUUGGUACCUUGGCUAUCAAGAUGAUGUUGAUAACUUAACAGCUUUGAAUGCAGGGUGAAGCAACCCAAGCUCAUCUUUCACUUCAAGUGGAUUGCUGGUCUCAUUCCUCACUCUUUUAACUCUCCGGCUAGCAAGAGAUUUAUGAGUAAAACCAUACAUCUGCAAAAUUUGAUUGUCCCCAAAAUUGAAAGCUCGAUCCAUCUGCUUCAAACACCUCUCCACUGGAUAAUCACCAAACUUGCCACAUGGCUUGCAACCCACAAAGUGAGUCACAAGUGGCCACCGGUGAUCACCAAGACCCGGAUGAUAAUUCUCGAUCAUUUCCUCAUAUCGAUCAACCAAAAUCCCCCAAUAACCAUGCAAAUAAUAAGCACUCUCUAGAUAAACCUUAUCACCCCACUUAUCACUCUGAGUAGCCAAUAGAUAAACCAUUGCAGACUGAUCAUCAGCUUCGAAAACGGGUCUAUCCUUAAGCUCCCUAGUGAGUACCUUCCCAGCUUCCUCCCUAAUCUUCCCUUUGGGCCCCAUUGGCGCCCAGGCAUCCAAAAUAUCCAAUGCCCACUGGCAAUUCCUCAACAGGAAACUUCCGGUAUUCAAUCCAAUCCAAUUUUUCUGAUCGUAGACCAUUUCAUUCCAUCCGUGCAUCACGAAAUUGGAAUCCUUGUACCUCUCCCAAGGGAGCUCAAAUGCCAUAUCCGUAAACAUGGCAUCACUAUCCAUCCACCACAAGAACUCGAUCUCCGGAUGGGACAGCAAUAGCUUCCUUAUCAAUGGAAGCUUCGCCCAGAAACCAGCCAUUUCCGCAUCAAGCAGAGCCAUGUUAUAGAAGAUCUCAAUCCCAUGAAGCCUGCAAUAAUCGAUCUUGUUCUUAAUCGAUUUCAGCAAGUAAUGAUCCCCGACUGGAUUCUCACAAGGUUUAGGCGAAGAACCCGUCACCAAAAGAACUCUCGGCUUAUUUGGUCCAAUAAAAUUGGGAAAAUUAGGGUUUUUUCUCAACCACUCAGCUCUCUGCUCGUCCCAAUCCGAAAUCUUCGGGCCGAGACUAAAUGGUUUGUUCGGAUCUGGCUUCUCGUCCUGCCCCUCAUCCACCAAGAUCUUAUUGAUAUCAAAUGUAGCAUAAUUGUUCGGAUCGUUGUUAUUAUUAUCGUUAUUUUGAGUUGACUCGGUGGCGGGUUGGGCUUCGACGAGGACUCGGUGGGGCUCAGCGUGCUUGCGGGAGGCAUAGAAGUGGUCGCGGAGGUCAUUGAAGUCCUGCUCUGGAGUACCAAACUUGCCGGCUCCGAUGGAACCACGUAAGACAAUAAAGGUCAUGAAGAGGCAAAAGAGGGUAACUUUUCCGCGGCGAAUCGCUCUCUGAAUCCUAAGGACUCGGUGAGUCCCGAGACACCGCUCCAGCAUUUUGAGUUAACCCGAGUUAACAGCCUCCUUAACCCGCUCCCUUUCAGCGAAAAAUCGAGAAUUUUGUUUGGCUUGUGAGGAAGGGAAUUCAGAAUUGCAUAUUAUUGAAAUAGAACUGUUAUAGGGUAUGGUGGUACAUAGGGAAAGAAUAAAGGGUGAUUAAGAAGGGGAGAGUCGGGGGAUGGAGUGGGUGGAAAUGCAAGGAAAGGAAGAUGAAGAUCAGGAGGAAGAGAAGAGGAAAGACCCAAAUUGCAGAAAUGAAAAUAAAUUUAUUUUAUUAUUAUUUAAUUAAUUUGCAGUAGAAUAAUGUUGUGUGUAAGCACGUUAAUGGAAUCAAUCAAUGAAGUGAUUAUUUGAUGGGACACGUAAAUCCUAGAGGUGAGGUGAGUGAGGAGUGAUUUACAGUUGUCAGUCGAUCACGCGGUGUGAUUUGUGAUGUGAUCUAUGCUUUUCAUGCUUUGCGAC